GAUAAACCAUUGAUGGAGAAGAGUAGUUAAACCCCACAUGAAAAGAGAGAGAGUGCCGCCCGGCUGAAAGCAUUCUCACAUGAUGAUUUAACGAAAGAACACUUCGUAGGUUUCUCUCUGAAAAAGACGUGAUCUUUAGUAGGAGCUGAACGUUAACAGGCGUUAACUGUAAAAGAGGAAGUCUAUUUAUUGGCUUCAACUAGGGUGGCACCACGGGAAAACCAAACUCUCGUCCCUUGU
rnacentral:ncRNA from 1 species